AUACGUAGGGGGCGAGCGUUAUCCGGAUUUAUUGGGCGUAAAGCGUGUGUAGGCGGUUUGUUAAGUUUAAGAUUAAAGCCCGAGGCUUAACCUCGGUUCGUCUUAAAAACUGGCAGACUUGAGUGCAGUAGAGGCAAGUGGAAUUUCUAGUGUAGCGGUUAAAUGCGUAGAUAUUAGAAGGAACACCAGUGGCGAAGGCGGCUUGCGGGCCUGUUACUGACGCUGAGACACGAAAGCGUGGGGAUCGACCAGGAUUAGAUACCCUGGUAGUCCACGCCGUAAACGAUGGGCGCUCGUCGUCGGCGGCAGACAGUCGGCGGCCAAGCGAAAGCGAUAAGCGCCCCACCUGGGGAGUACGGUCGCAAGGCUGAAACUCAAAUGAAUUGGCGGGG
rnacentral:rRNA from 1 species